UACUGGAUAGCUCAGUCGGUAGAGCAUGAGACUCUUAAUCUCAGGGUUGUGGGUUCAAGUCCCAUGUUGAGUAA